UGUAAGAGACAAUUUGACCGGUGACGCAGGUGUCUUGAUUGGCUGAUUUGCACGAAUCAGGUGUCAUGUCUGAGACCACCUUGAUGAUGGGAGCAGCAGCAGCUGCAGGCCACCGAGGAUACUCUGCAGAUUGUGAGAGAAGUUGAACCCAAGACUGACCUCUCGGCUUGAAAGCCUGAUGCUAGAGAGCCACAGGAGGCAGACUUCGAAUGAGAGCAGAUCCAGCCCAGAGGCAGGAUUGGCCUGUGAGGGUGUGCAUCUCUUCUCGACCCUGCAAUGCAUCUACGUCUUAUUUACCUCUGAAUGUGGUCGCUCUACAAGGCAU